rnacentral:rRNA from 1 species
GACGAACGCUGGCGGCGUGCUUAACACAUGCAAGUCGAACGGUAAGGCCCUUCGGGGUACACGAGUGGCGAACGGGUGAGUAACACGUGGGUGAUCUGCCCUGCACUUCGGGAUAAGCCUGGGAAACUGGGUCUAAUACCGGAUAGGACCCUGGGAUGCAUGUCCUGGGGUGGAAAGCUUUUGCGGUGUGGGAUGGGACCGCGGCCUAUCAGCUUGUUGGUGGGGUGAUGGCCUACCAAGGCGACGACGGGUAGCCGGCCUGAGAGGGUGACCGGCCACACUGGGACUGAGAUACGGCCCAGACUCCUACGGGAGGCAGCAGUGGGGAAUAUUGCACAAUGGGCGCAAGCCUGAUGCAGCGACGCCGCGUGAGGGAUGACGGCCUUCGGGUUGUAAACCUCUUUCAGCUAUGACGAAGCGCAAGUGACGGUAGUAGCAGAAGAAGGACCGGCCAACUACGUGCCAGCAGCCGCCGUAA